UUUUUUUUAAUUGCAAAUACUAUUCAUUGCAUUACAGGGCCUUAAAAGGCGAGAAUACAAAUUGGCCAGUACACUUCAAGCCCUGCAGCAUUGUGACCCAAAUAAAAAAGAAAAGUCCAGCCCAUCCAACCUACAAGGAAGGCCACAACCAUGCUAGUGCCGUCACCUUCUGCUAUAUCAACGCGGCAGGGCAGAGCAGCCUCUCAAUCUAAUAUAACCUUGAGGGACAGCUUCUAUCAGAAGAGAAGGAGCUUCAAGUCCUUGAGAUACCGACAUCAAUGCAUAAAAAGCCCUAGCACAAAGCAACACAAGGAGUACCGAAUCUAACCAAAUGAUCACUAAAAUCAGAGCUCCAAAGAAAACUCUCUUAAAAAUCAGAUCUCUAGCAAGACUCCCUCAUCAUAGAGAGUGCAGAUCUACAACACAAACAAAACCUAAAAGAUAUAAACAACUGAUCUCGACGUGAGGAGGGAAGUUACAAACGGGUCAGACCAGACAUCUUCCCAUGCUUGGAAAGGCAGGGGAAGCCCACUGGGAAAACAAGCUCGACAAGGGCUCAAAAAAG
rnacentral:misc_RNA from 1 species